GUGCCAGCAGCCGCGGUAAUACGGAGGGUGCGAGCGUUAAUCGGAAUUACUGGGCGUAAAGGGCGCGUAGGCGGUCGCGCAAGUCGGGUGUGAAAGCCCCGGGCUCAACCUGGGAAUUGCAUUCGAUACUGCGUAACUAGAGUCUGGUAGAGGGAAGCGGAAUUCCGCAUGUAGCGGUGAAAUGCGUAGAUAUGCAGAGGAACACCAGUGGCGAAGGCGGCUUCCUGGACCAAGACUGACGCUGAGGCGCGAAAGCGUGGGGAGCAAACAGGAUUAGAUACCCUGGUAGUCCACGCCCUAAACGAUGAGGACUAGACGUUGGGGGGAUAAAACCCUUAGUGUCGCAGCUAACGCGUGAAGUCCUCCGCCUGGGGAGUACGGCCGCAAGGUUGAAACUUAAAUGAAUUGACGG
rnacentral:rRNA from 1 species